rnacentral:lncRNA from 1 species
CCAUGAUCGACUUUACUCCGAACUUCUUCUGGACUUCGUCAAUGUCUGAGCUUCUCUAGCAGCAGGACUUCUACAGUAACCAGAAUCCAUCCAAGUUUCUACGGUGGUCGAUCGCCUUUCGAAUUUUAUCCAAACUCCUACAAGAGCCAGACUCCGUUCGAACUUCUACAGUGGAUGAAUCCCAAACGAAGCUCUACAAC